UACCACCCUAAAUGCGCCCGAUCUCGUCUGAUCUCGGAAGCUAAGCAGGGUCGGGCCUGGUUGGUACUUGAAUGGGAGUCCUUAUCUCUUCUUAUCACCUCUCAGAAGUUCUUGUC
rnacentral:rRNA from 1 species